UUCUCAUUUCUCACCAAAACCUAAAUCCAACGAACAAAAAUUCCCCAAAAACCCACCAAAACCAAACCCAUGCUUCUUCUCUGCUUCUCUCCUCGAUCCAUCCUCACACCUCCCCGGCACUGCCUCCUCUCCUCCUCCGGCCACCGCCCCCCAUCCCCCUCUGAUGUAGACGAAGAUGAUCCCCACCCCUCCUCCCGUCACCGUCGAUCCCUCCUAUCUAAUGCCGACCAAAUCUUCUUCAUCCUCCAACAAGACGAUCUCGGCUUCGAAUCCCAGACCGCCUUCAACGAUCUCUGGCCAAAUCUCACAGCCACCCUCAUCCAUGUUGUCCUCCGCCUCAUCCACUCCUCCAUGACCACCACCAACAAAUCCCGAUCCGCCAAACUCGCCUUCAAAUUCUUCGCCUGGGCUUCCGAUUAACCCCACUACUCCUACCCCACCCACAUCUACAAUCUCACCAUGAAGAUCUUCGCCGAUGCAUCUUCUCCAAUAAAGUGUAACAUUCCGCCAUUGAUGAAAUGCAGCAGCGCAAAUGAGAACAUUGAGGUCUCUACUUCAUUGCCGACGCCACCUUCAUGUCGGUGUCCGCUUCAAGGAUCAUUGAGGUAUCUUCCAAGCAUGCCACCAUCUACACCACCUUUAUCUCCAUCUCGGCUUCGAGAUCAUUGAGGUCUCUGCCAGGAAUGUCAAUGUUCAUCUCAAAAUAAUCGACUCUAACUACCAGCUAUUGAAGGUCUUAUACUACAACGUGUCAGUGUUGUUCUCAAAGGCUCUUACCAACAUCAGGCCACAAAUUUGUUCGGGGUUUUCAACGUGUCAGCGACGAUCACCGGAAUCCAGCUAAAACCAUGCCGGUUCAUCCUAGAAAGACCAUCCAGGUUCAUCUCUUUCUCUGUUUCUUUGAUUUUGUCCCUAAUUUUAGUGUGGUUUUGAUUUUGUUGUUGAAUGUGGUUUAAAUUUCUUUUUUUUUUUUGUUAAUCUUCUUGUUCUUAGGUUUUAUGCUUUUCUGACUGUUUUUAUUUAGAUUUUUAUUUGCUGAAGAUGCAGAGGUCUAUUAGAUUUUGAUUUCUAUUAGUUUUUAUGCUAACAAGGUAAUGUUUCAUUUGUUGAUAGUUUCACAUCCUUCUCAGCUCUUAUUUGUUUAAAUCUUAGAACUUAUAACUUCUUGUUGGAACAUUCAGAAGAUGUGCUUGCCAUUUGUAAUGCUCAUAGACUAAUUUUUUUUCUAUUUUGUUAUUGAAUAUAUUGGAUGUUUUAUUUGUUGAUUGUUUCACAUUCUUCACAACUUGUUUAACUCCUACUUGGGUCGUAUCAUGCAUGAUAUCAAUAAAUAGUUGUGCCCCCAAUGCCUCUUCUAGUGGCUAUUCUAUUAGUCCUUAUAUCAAAUUGUGUUCUUUAACCACUUGGUACCAAGUCGCAUUACUUAACAAUUAGGAGUAGCAAAUAAUAAAUAUGAUUAUCACUUGGGCUAGUUGAUUGUAUUGCGAGUAGUAAACAUACUAUUUCAAAUCAAUGUUACGAGUUCUGUGGUGCUUAGGGCUUUCAUUGCAUGCUUGUAUACAAGUCAUGCCUUUUUGAGGUUACUUUUUUUAUUUUUCUUUUUUUAUUAUCCCUCGUAUAAAGGUCUUCAUUGCUUGUAGGCUUGGUAGCUAUAUUCUUGGCUCUUAAAAGUUUUUUUCCAAAAUGUAUUUAGUUUAACAUAUCAACAAAUGCUGGAAAAUUGCUCAUACUACGAGAAGAAUACGUUUUACUCAUUAGAAAUUUUUUUAAUUAAAAAUUAUAAGAAAAGGACUUAACCAACUAAGACUUGUUUUACAUUUUAGAUUACAUAAAUAUGAUUAUCACUUGGGCUAGUUGAUUGUAUUGCGAGUAGUAAACAUACUAUUUCAAAUCGAUGUUACGAGUUCUGUGGUGCUUAGGGCUUUCAUUGCAUGCUUGUAUACAAGUCAUGCCUUUUUGAGGUUACUUUUUUUCUUUUUCUUUUUUUAUUAUCCCUCAUAUAAAGGUCUUCAUUGCUUGUAGGCUUGGUAGCUAUAUUCUUGGCUCUUAAAAGUUUUUUUCCAAAAUGUAUUUAGUUUAACAUAUCAACAAAUGCUGGCAAAUUGCUCAUACUAAGAGAAGAAUACGUUUUACUCAUUAGAAAUUUUUUUAAUUAAAAAUUAUAAGAAAAGGACUUAACCAACUAAGACUUGUUUUACAUUUUAGAUUACAUAAAAAGAAAGAAAAGAACUGCUUUGAGUUAAAUUGCCUAUGUGCACGAUAUGUUAGACACAAGUUGCACAACUUGUUUCUCCAUCACUUUGGUCAAUGUUUUCAAAAUAAUGAAAAUCGAUCAGUAAAAAUGAACUUUAGAGAAGGUUAGCUUAACCUAAACCUUAUGCCUUAUGCCUUGCUAGGUUUUAAGAUGUGCCAUCAUCCUGAGAGUAAUAUUUUCUAAUUUUCCUGGUUAAGCUGCAACAACAAUUUAUUGAUUUACCGGUUUUUUUUAAUACAUGACUGCAAAUGGCCCAUCAAAUAUAUCUCUUUUGCAGGGAAUCAUGAAAGUAGGCAAUUAACACAGGUACGUUGUUAUCCUAAAGUACAACUUUGUGAAACAUUUAUUCUCCAUGUUGCAUUUGUAAUGUUUGUCAGGUUACCAUAUUUAUCUUACCAUUGACAUCAUGUGUAUAAGGAACCAAAAGAUUUAACAUUAUUCUUUUAUUACACUUUUUACUCAGUUGUUUUGAAAAGACAAACCAUUUAAGUGCAGCUCAUGAUCACAGUUAAAAAAAUUAUUUAAUCCUGUUCUUGAGCUUAUAAAAUAGCUGAUUGACCCCUUUUCAGCCUUCUUAGCUAACCAUCUUGUUAUUGCUGUGUGCUUUGAAAAUUGUUGAUUGCCUUUCCCAAUCAUGUAGUGAAUAUUUGUUUGGUCCAUCUGUCAUCCAUCUUACCCUUUGUAAUUUGUGGGAAAGAUUGUUAACUCAUGAAGAUUUGUUGUUGAUAUCACAUUUAAGAAACAAAUUCCUUGCACAUUAUUUUUUAUUAUUUGUUUAUUUAUUUAUUUUUUUUGCAUUGUUUACAUAGAGAAGAAAGCUUCUGUGUGUUGCCUUGAAUAAAAUAUUUUGCACUUUGUAGUUUUGAUGAGCAAUAAGGAUAAAGGGGAGGCUUGGAAAAACUAUAUAUUUGUUUCAAAUAUGAUUCAGAGUUCCCGAAUUGCUUUACUUAUAAUGAAUUUUGAAUUUAAAUCAAUUAUGGUAUUUACAGGUAGCCCUUGCUUUGAGUUAUAAACCCCUUACAUCAGUCUAGAAAAAGAAUAGGCCUCUUGUGUUUAUUUUGCCAUUUCUUUUAUAAUUUGCCUUUCUACAGUUGACCACGGCAGUGAUUAUGCCCCUCAAAGUUCUCAUACCUUUUUUGCCUGCAUAUUUAGUCAACUGUUGUAAGUUGCAGAAGUUUCUCUAUGAUAUGUAUACCUUAAGUGUUUGUCAUCUUUUGUAGGUUUAUGGUUUUUAUGAUGAGUGCCAUUGGAAAUACGGCAAUGCUAACGCAUGCCGAUAUUGUACAGAUGUUUUUGACUACCUUACAUUGCCAGCAAUCAUAGAUGGAACUGUUCUCUGUGUUCACGGUGGUUUUUCUCCUGAUAUUCAAUCAAUUGAUCAAGUUCAUUGCUUUUUAUGAUUUUAUUCUCCGUAAUCAACAUUUGAAUCUUUAAAUAUCCAUAUGCUAACUGGAAGCAUAUUUUACAAUUCAUUGAUUUCACAUGUUGAUGGUAGUGCUUCUCUAUAAAAUGAUUAUCAAUUGCUAGACUCUAUCAGUAGUAUAACCAUGUCAUAAUAUAAGAAUGACGUUGUGCUAAAUCUCCUACUUUUUUUAAGAUUUAUGGCAAUGUAUUGGAAAUGGUGGUUGUGUAAUAGGGAGAACCAAAGUCUACAACUCAAUGUUGGAAAACCUCCUUUCUGUUUUUCUGCAUUCCAGUAUUCUUUCUCUUUGCCAUCUAGAAAUCCUGUUAAUUCUCCACAAACACUAUUUUCUGAGUUUAAUAUUGACCUGAUAGAUGUAGCUUCUGGUACAUAGAUGUGUAACCAUUUCUACUAAGUGUUUGCCAUUUGAUGUCCAUCGCUUUUGUUUGAAAUUAAUUCCUUUUCUUUCCUUCUUCAUAGAUGAGAGUUAUCGACUGGAACUGUGAAAUUCCUCACGAGGGCCCCUUCUGUGAUCUAAUGUGGAGUGAUCCUGAAGAGAUUGAAAGCUUGGGCAAUUAGCCCUCAUGGUGCAGGAUGGCUUUCGGGGUCAAGGGUGACCUCAGAGUUCAACCAUAUAAACAAACUCGACCUCGUCCGCGAGCGCACCAGCUUGUCCAGGAGGGCCUCGUCACUUUGAGUUAUUAUAAAUUACUAUCCCAACUUUAUGCUCAAGAAUCCCAGCCAACUAAUCUUGUGAUUGCUUUAAUAUAAUUUCAAGUCUUAAAAUUACUAUAUUUCUUGGCAUUCCAGGUGUUUUCUGCGCCCAAUUAUUGUUACAGAUGUGGAAACGUUGCUUCUAUUCUAAGCUUUAAUGAGAAUAUGGAAAGAGAGGUCAAAUUCUUCACCGAAACACAGGAAAACAACCAAAUGAGAGGACCAAGAAUAGGAUUAUUAUAUUUUUUAUGAAGUCAAGGACGCUUCAUCUUCCACUUUUGGUAACUGCAUGCAAGGAUCCAAUCUUUACAUCAUGCAGUAAACUUGUAGAUUCCUCUGUAUUGUUGUUAGACCAAUAAAAAUAUCAUCCUAUCUGAUGAUUUAUGAAUGGGAAUUGGAAUUCUG